rnacentral:rRNA from 1 species
GACGAACGCUGGCGGCGUGCUUAACACAUGCAAGUCGAACGGAAAGGCCCUGCUUUUGUGGGGUGCUCGAGUGGCGAACGGGUGAGUAACACGUGAGUAACCUGCCCUUGACUUUGGGAUAACUUCAGGAAACUGGGGCUAAUACCGGAUAGGAGCUCCUGCUGCAUGGUGGGGGUUGGAAAGUUUCGGCGGUUGGGGAUGGACUCGCGGCUUAUCAGCUUGUUGGUGGGGUAGUGGCUUACCAAGGCUUUGACGGGUAGCCGGCCUGAGAGGGUGACCGGCCACAUUGGGACUGAGAUACGGCCCAGACUCCUACGGGAGGCAGCAGUGGGAAUAUUGCACAAUGGGCGGAAGCCUGAUGCAGCAACGCCGCGUGCGGGAUGACGGCCUUCGGGUUGUAAACCGCUUUCGCCUGUGACGAAGCGUGAGUGACGGUAAUGGGUAAAGAAGCGCCGGCUAACUACGUG